UCCCUGGUGGUCUAGUGGUUAGGAUUUGGCACUUUCAUUGCCACGGCCUGAGUUUAAUCCCUGGUCCGAGAA
rnacentral:tRNA from 1 species